rnacentral:misc_RNA from 1 species
CUGCUUGCUCACGGCCUCGUUGCGGGCAACCGCGCGAGGUCGGGCACGCUACCCUUGCUUAUGUAUACCUAUUGUUAUUCCCUCGGCGGGGAGACUCGCCGCUGGGAUCGCAUAAACCCUUUGCAUGAUAGCAUCAAAACUUCUGAAAACAAACUAAAUAAUCA